rnacentral:rRNA from 1 species
AUGGGUUCUUGGCAUGUUUUGCAGUCUCUGCUGCCGCUGUUCCUGAGGCCGGCGGCGCGGUUCCUGGGGCCGUUCCUGGCGGGCCGGCCGGCGGAGGCGGCGGCCACGGUGCUGCACCGCGCCGGCGUGCUCCCGAGGAACCGGGCGCUGCGGCGGCUCGUCAGGGACGACGGCGGCGCCGAGGACUGCAUCGCGCGUCUCGUCGUCAGCGUGGUGAGCUGCCUCUGCUAG